rnacentral:rRNA from 1 species
UACGAAGGGGGCUAGCGUUGCUCGGAAUUACUGGGCGUAAAGGGAGCGUAGGCGGACAUUUAAGUCAGGGGUGAAAUCCCGGGGCUCAACCUCGGAAUUGCCUUUGAUACUGGGUGUCUUGAGUAUGAGAGAGGUAUGUGGAACUCCGAGUGUAGAGGUGAAAUUCAUAGAUAUUCGGAAGAACACCAGUGGCGAAGGCGACAUACUGGCUCAUUACUGACGCUGAGGCUCGAAAGCGUGGGGAGCAAACAGG